UGUAUUUAUGACCCUUGUCUCUUGUCUUUAAUUCACAGUGCCUCAUGAGAAGUUGGUAUGGCUGUCCCAUGGCCAUCUCCAGAGUAUUGCUUGCCAGCUUUUUCUGUACCCAUUCCACAGCUGAAUCUCUUGGGUAGAGCAAGAACGUGUACUUGUGCUCCUUACAACAUGGCCUUGGGCAAUAGAAAGGUUUAUACAUCCCGUAUGGAACUUUAUGACUUCAGGGCCUGACUAGAUGGCACAGAUGCCACCCCCAUGGAGUAAAUCAAGAUCAUCUUGUAAUUGCUGUCCCCAGCUGCUCUUGAGUUUGUCUUAUAUGCUGUCAGCAAACUCGUGCUGGUGAUCAAGCAGAGUGGAUCUGAACGUGGCAAGUCUGAUUUGAAUGUAGAAUGGCUUGGAGCCAGAGCAAGGACAGAGAAAGAAUAUGUGGGGUAACACUGUCCCUCAGUUCUAGCGUCACCAGGCAGAAGAGAGAAGAAACAGCAACUAAUUUGCCAAGUAUGGGACUUUGAACUGAGGUUAUAGGAGUGUCAGGCAAGGAAUCAGAGUUUCUGGUGCAUUUGAGGACUUUGGGGUGGAAUAAGCAGUGAGGUCAUGGUGUAUGUCAAAAACUGGGAGCUGGAGACGUAGCAGGAACACACACAUGACUGAGAGGGAACUUCAUUAAGAAUGUGUAAAGUUUAAAGAUUAAAUUAAAUAGACGUAAGCUGAUAUGAACUUGAGAGAGAGUGACAUAAACUUAACAAAGAAAACAACCAGAUAAACUUGUAAGAGGAGCCAGAAAGGAAGACGUGAGGCUGAUGUUAUUCAGGAGGCAUGUGGACAGGUAUCCUUCCUCUACUCUCAGCAGUAUCUGCAGCUCACCUGUUGGGCAGCUGCCCUGAAAUCUCUCUAGGAGGAGGCCAAAGGAGUUCAUCACUAUGGAGCCAGCCAGACUUAAUGCUCCUUGAUAUCGUGGCUUUGAACUGUUUCAUGUUCUUGUUUGUUUGUUUCUUCACUCCAGAUUGGAGGACUUGCAUUUGGUGUUUCUAAUACCGCAUUCUGAAGAAUGGAAAAUCAAAAUAAGUCCUAGAAAGAGGUGAAUCUGUUGAGUGGGAAAUGAUAUUAGAUGUUUAAUGUAACACCUCUUAUAUGUUUGUGUUGUAACAAGAGAUAGCCAGUCAAUGUGUAAUAAUAAUUUUCCAGUUUGUGUUAGCACAGUCUUGUAUUCUCACAGUUGUAAUUAAUGUCACCAUUGAGAUGAAAUUGUGAGAAGGCUAUGCUAGCCAAUUAAAAUGGUAAU
rnacentral:lncRNA from 7 species